UGUAGAUAUAAACCAAAGAAGUUUAUCAUUUCAAAAUGAACCAAUCAACAAUUGUUGGAGCAACAUGUAUGCUACUUCUACUCUUUUCAUGCGUACUUGAUGUGCGAGGAAAAGGACCAACAAAGUCAGAUUGUAAAAGCUGUUGUGCACUAAAUGGACCAAGAGACGGAAAGUGCACUCGUUGUAAUUGUAAGCCAAACAAACAGAAUCGGGGACGAUCCGGAUAUAAUUAAUCAUACGGUUAACAUUUCAAAAUGAAACAUUUAACAAUUGUUGGAACAGCUUUUGUAUUGCUUCUUAUCUUUUCAUGCGGAAAAUGAGCUUGCAGAAUCCCGGUAUAUGUCAGACAUGUCAGAUGCUAAAGCUGAAAAAAACAUAAAAUUAUUUGACAACAAA